GAUGAACGCUGGCGGCGUGCCUAAUACAUGCAAGUCGAGCGAACGGACGAGAAGCUUGCUUCUCUGAUGUUAGCGGCGGACGGGUGAGUAACACGUGGAUAACCUACCUAUAAGACUGGGAUAACUUCGGGAAACCGGCGCUAAUACCGGAUAAUAUUUUGAACCGCAUGGUUCAAAAGUGAAAUACGGUCUUGCUGUCACUUAUAGAUGGAUCCGCGCUGCAUUAGCUAGUUGGUAAGGUAACGGCUUACCAAGGCAACGAUGCAUAGCCGACCUGAGAGGGUGAUCGGCCACACUGGAACUGAGACACGGUCCAGGCUCCUACGGGAGGCAGCAGUAGGGAAUCUUCCGCAAUGGGCGAAAGCCUGACGGAGCAACGCCGCGUGAGUGAUGACGGUGUUCGGAUCGUGAAACUCUGUUAUUAGGGAAGAACAUAUGUGUAAGUAACUGUGCACAUCUUGACGGUAACUAGUAAGAAAGCCACGGCUAACUACGUG
rnacentral:rRNA from 1 species